rnacentral:misc_RNA from 1 species
UACGGAGGGGGCUAGCGUUGUUCGGAAUUACUGGGCGUAAAGGGCGCGCAGGCGGCCGAUCAAGUCAGGCGUGAAAGCCCCGGGCUCAACCUGGGAAUUGCGCUUGAGACUGGUGGGCUGGAGAUCGGGAGAGGCGAGUGGAAUUCCCAGUGUAGAGGUGAAAUUCGUAGAUAUUGGGAAGAACACCGGUGGCGAAGGCGGCUCGCUGGCCCGGAUCUGACGCUGAGGCGCGAAAGCGUGGGGAGCAAACAGG